GUACUUUUCAGGUCCCAAGGCGAGCAUUCAGUGAAGAGACGUGAUACGAAAUAUUCUCACACCAUGCCUCGUGACAGUCGGUUGAUUCAACUGACUCAUCGUACAUCCCGAACAAGCCACCUGAACGCAGUAAUUCCACCCCGUACUCGCACCACUACAUUCCAUCAGUCGUUCUUCGUCAGAAGUGCCCGAGACUGGAAUGGCCUUCCAAAAGAUGUUGCACUUGUACGUGAUGCAGCACGUUUCCGAUAUACUAUCGAACAUACAUGAAUUGGUGCCUUUGGACUUGUCUUUGUGAAAUGGAUUGUCUUAUUUUUAUUGCCGCCAUUUGUAUCUACAUUUUGUAUUUUAGUCUAAUUAAUCUUUAUUGUUAUAUUGUUUAUUGUUUUCUCUUCACUUAUGAUGCCCACCCCUCAUGUAAUGUCCCUCAGGACCCUUGAAGUACCAAUAAAAAAAGUAAGUGCAGGUUCCAGAGCUACCAA